UGAGGAGAGGCUGAAAGAAUACCUUCCUUCUGUUUUGAGAUACCCCAUUUAUAGAACCUUGCAAUGGCAGCCCACUAGUACACCUGUGUGAAGGUUAAUAAUCGACUGUCAACCUGACGGGAUCUGGACUUCCCUAAGAGACAAACGGGCACGUCUACAAGGGAGUUUCUAGACUCGGGUCUGGGGACAGGACCCCGGGCAGAACCUAGCCGCAAACUUGAGCCCUGGCAAUCCAUGUGACUGGAAGGAUGGCGGAAGAGGCUUGUGGUUAAGUUAAUUGAAUCUGAGGAUUUCGCCCUGGGAAACCACCUUCGUGAUCAUGGUAUCUACCCUGCCAGGCACGGGAGGAUACACUGGCAUCACCAUCCAAGCUCAGAGCCUGCAUCUUUGUGUUGCUAUACGAAGUAAAUUGUAGUGGGUAGCUGUUCCAGCUUUGACCUAGAAGUACCACCCC